rnacentral:rRNA from 1 species
UGGGGAAUUUUGGACAAUGGGCGCAAGCCUGAUCCAGCCAUGCCGCGUGUCUGAAGAAGGCCUUCGGGUUGUAAAGGACUUUUGUCCGGGAGCAAAGCCUAGCGGUAAAUAGCCGUUGGGAAGGAGAGUACCGGAAGAAUAAGCACCGGCUAACUACGUGCCAGCAGCCGCGGUAAUACGUAGGGUGCAAGCGUUAAUCGGAAUGACUGGGCGUAAAGAGUGCGUAGGCGGUUACCCGAGCUUGAUGUGAAAUACCUGGGCUUAACCUGGGAAUGGCAUGGAGGACAGGGUAACUAGAGUCUGUCAGAGGUGGGUAGAAUUCCCCGUGUAGCAGUGAAAUGCGUAGAGAUGGGGAGGAAUACCGAUGGCGAAGGCAGCCCACUGGGAUAAGACUGACGCU